rnacentral:rRNA from 1 species
AUGGCGAGCACGGCGGCGUCGAAGAAGGCGGCGAACCGGCUGGUGGUGGAGGAGGCCACCACCAACGACGACAACUCCGUGUGCAAUGUCCACCACGACACCAUAGAGAAGCUCUCCAUAUACAAAGGCGACAUCGUGCUGCUCAAGGGAAAACGCCGCCACAACACGGUCUGCAUGGCACUGCCCGACGACACCUGCGAGGGGCACAAGCUCGGGAUCAACAAGGUGGCCCGCUCCAACCUGCGCGUGCGCAUCGCCGACGUCAUGUCCGAGCACCUGUGCCACGACGCCAAGUUCGGCAGACGCGUGCACAUCCUCCCUCUGGACGACACCGUCGAGGGCAUCGCGGGGAAUCUCUUCGACGUCUACCUCAAGCCCUACUUCGUGGACGCCUACCGCCCGGUCCACAAGGGCGACCUCUUCCUCGUGCGUGGUGGCAUGCGGAGCGUGGAGUUCAAGGUCAUGGAGAUCGACCCCGCGGUGGAGUACUGCAUCGUGGCGCCUGACACAGAGAUCUUCUGCGAGGGCGAGCCGGUAAAGCGGGAGGACGAGGAGAGGCUUGACGACAUCGGCUACGACGACGUGGGUGGCAUGGGGAAACCGCUGACUCUGAUCAGGGAGCUCGUCGAGCUGCCACUCAGGCAUCCGCAGAUCUUCAAGAGCAUUGGCGUCAAGCCUCCCAAGGGCAUCCACCUCUACGGCCCCCCCGGGUCCGGCAAGACGUUGAUCGCCCGCGCGGUGGCCAACGAGACUGGGGCCUUCUUCUUCCUUAUCAACGGCCCAGAGAUAAUGUCUAAGAUGGCCGGAGAGAGCGAGAGCAACCUGAGGAAGGCCUUCGAGGAGGCUGAGAAGAACGCACCCUCUAUCAUCUUCAUCGACGAGAUAGACUCCAUCGCGCCGAACAGGGAGAAGACUCACGGCGAGGUCGAGAGGCGUAUCGUCUCCCAGCUGCUGACGCUGAUGGACGGGAUGAAGGCCCGUGCGCACGUCAUUGUCAUGGGCGCAACGAACCGUCCCAACAGCAUCGACCCUGCCUUGAGGCGCUUCGGGAGGUUCGAUCGCGAGAUCGACAUCAGCGUGCCGGACGAGGUCGGGCGUCUCGAAGUGCUCCGCAUCCACACCAAGAACAUGAAGCUGGACGAGGACGUCAACCUAGAGGUGAUUGCCAAGGAUACACACGGCUACGUCGGUGCCGACUUGGCCGCGCUCUGCACCGAGGCGGCGCUGCAGUGCAUCAGGGAGAAGAUGGACGUGAUCGACUUAGAGGACGACACAUUGAUGCCGAGAUCUUGA